CAGCAGCCGCGGUAAUACAGAGGAUGCAAGCGUUAUCCGGAAUGAUUGGGCGUAAAGUGUCUGUAAGUGGCUCUUCAAGUCUGUCGUCAAAUCCCAGGGCUCAACACUAGACAGGCGGUGGAAACUACCAAGCUUGAGUACAGUAGGGGCAGAGGGAAUUUCCAGUGGAGCGGUGAAAUGCGUUGAGAUCGGAAAGAACACCAAUGACAAAAGCACUCUGUUGGGCUGACACUGACACUGAGAGACGAAAGCUAGGGGAGCAAAUGGGAUUAGAUACCCCCGUAGUCCCUGUCUCUUAUAC
rnacentral:rRNA from 1 species